UCGGGAAUUUUGGGCAAUGGGCGAAAGCCUGACCCAGCAACGCCGCGUGAAGGAUGAAGUAUUUCGGUAUGUAAACUUCGAAAGAAUAGGAAGAAUAAAUGACGGUACUAUUUAUAAGGUCCGGCUAACUACGUGCCAGCAGCCGCGGUAAUACGUAGGGACCAAGCGUUGUUCGGAUUUACUGGGCGUAAAGGGCGCGUAGGCGGCAAUUCAAAUCAUCUGUGAAAUCUCCGGGCUUAACUCGGAACGGUCAGAUGAUACUGCUUUGCUAGAGUGCAGAAGGGGCAAUCGGAAUUCUUGGUGUAGCGGUGAAAUGCGUAGAUAUCAAGAGGAACACCUGAGGUGAAGACGGGUUGCUGGGCUGACACUGACGCUGAGGCGCGAAAGCCAGGGGAGCAAACGGGAUUAGAUACCCCCGUAGUCCCUGAGCGGGCUGGCAAGGCGCAU
rnacentral:rRNA from 1 species